UUCGACCUCAAAUCAGGUAGGACUACCCGCUGAACUUAAGCAUAUCAAUAAGCGGAGGAAAAGAAACCAACAGGGAUUGCCUUAGUAGCGGCGAGUGAAGCGGCAAAAGCUCAAAUUUGAAAUCUGGCACUUUCAGUGUCCGAGUUGUAAUUUGAAGAAGGUAUCUUUGGGUCUGGCUCUUGUCUAUGUUUCGU
rnacentral:rRNA from 1 species